rnacentral:rRNA from 1 species
UUCCGGUUGAUCCUGCGGAGGCCACUGCUAUGGGGGUCCGACUAAGCCAUGCGAGUCAUGGGGCGCGCUCUGCGCGCACCGGCGGACGGCUCAGUAACACGUCGGUAACCUACCCUCGGGAGGGGGAUAACCCCGGGAAACUGGGGCUAAUCCCCCAUAGGCCUGAGGUACUGGAAGGUCCUCAGGCCGAAAGGGGCUUUUGCCCGCCCGAGGAUGGGCCGGCGGCCGAUUAGGUAGUUGGUGGGGUAACGGCCCACCAAGCCGAAGAUCGGUACGGGCCAUGAGAGUGGGAGCCCGGAGAUGGACACUGAGACACGGGUCCAGGCCCUACGGGGCGCAGCAGGCGCGAAACCUCCGCAAUGCUCGAAAGAGCGACGGGGGGACCCCCAGUGCCGUGGCAUCGCCACGGCUUUUCCGGAGUGUAAAAAGCUCCGGGAAUAAGGGCUGGGCAAGGCCGGUGGCAGCCGCCGCGGUAAUACCGGCGGCCCGAGUGGUGGCCGCUAUUAUUGGGCCUAAAGCGUCCGUAGCCGGGCUUGUAAGUCCCUGGCGAAAUCCCACGGCUCAACCGUGGGGCUUGCUGGGGAUACUGCAAGCCUUGGGACCGGGAGAGGCCGGGGGUACUCCUGGGGUAGGGGUGAAAUCCUAUAAUCCCAGGAGGACCGCCAGUGGCGAAGGCGCCCGGCUGGAACGGGUCCGACGGUGAGGGACGAAGGCCAGGGGAGCGAACCGGAUUAGAUACCCGGGUAGUCCUGGCUGUAAAGGAUGCGGGCUAGGUGUCGGGCGAGCUCCGAGCUCGCCCGGUGCCGCAGGGAAGCCGUUAAGCCCGCCGCCUGGGGAGUACGGCCGCAAGGCGGAAACUUAAAGGAAUUGGCGGGGGAGCACUACAAGGGAAAGGGCGUGCGGUUUAAUUGGAUCAACGCCGGAAAU